rnacentral:rRNA from 1 species
AUUGAACGCUGGCGGCAUGCCUUACACAUGCAAGUCGAACGGCAGCACGGGAGCAAUCCUGGUGGCGAGUGGCGAACGGGUGAGUAAUACAUCGGAACGUGCCCAAUCGUGGGGGAUAACGCAGCGAAAGCUGUGCUAAUACCGCAUACGAUCUACGGAUGAAAGCAGGGGAUCGCAAGACCUUGCGCGAAUGGAGCGGCCGAUGGCAGAUUAGGUAGUUGGUGAGGUAAAGGCUCACCAAGCCGUCGAUUUGUAGCUGGUCUGAGAGGACGACCAGCCACACUGGGACUGAGACACGGCCCAGACUCCUACGGGAGGCAGCAGUGGGGAAUUUUGGACAAUGGGCGAAAGCCUGAUCCAGCCAUGCCGCGUGCAGGAUGAAGGCCUUCGGGUUGUAAACUGCUUUUGUACGGAACGAAACGGCCUUUUCUAAUAAAGAGGGCUAAUGACGGUACCGUAAGAAUAAGCACCGGCUAACUACGUGCCAGCAGCCGCGGUAAUACGUAGGGUGCAAGCGUUAAUCGGAAUUACUGGGUGUAAAGCGUGCGCAGGCGGUUAUGUAAGACAGUUGUGAAAUCCCCGGGCUCAACCUGGGAACUGCAUCUGUGACUGCAUAGCUAGAGUACGGUAGAGGGGGAUGGAAUUCCGCGUGUAGCACUGAAAUGCUUGAAAUGGGAGGAACACCCAUUGCGAAAGGGAUUCCCUCUACUGUGUUGUCACUCUUAUGCAAAAAAGCGUGGGGGAGAAACAGU